ACGCUGGCGGCGUGCUUAACACAUGCAAGUCGAACGAGACGAUUUAGAAGCUUGCUUUUAUUGAGUCGAGUGGCAAACGGGUGAGUAACGCGUAGACAACCUGCCGCAAAGAUGGGGACAACAGUCCGAAAGGACUGCUAAUACCGCAUGAGACCACAACGUCACAUGGCGAAGGGGUCAAAGGAGCAAUCCGGUAUGGGGUGAGCUCGCGUCCGAUUAGCUAGUUGGUGAGGUAACGGCCCACCAAGGCGACGAUCGGUAGCCGACCUGAGAGGGUGAUCGGCCACAUUGGAACUGAGACACGGCCCAGACUCCUACGGGAGGCAGCAGUGGGGAAUCUUCCGCAAUGGACGAAAGUCUGACGGAGCAACGCCGCGUGAACGAUGACGGCCUUCGGGUUGUAAAGUUCUGUUAUACGGGACGAAUGGCGUAGCGGUCAAUACCCGUUACGAGUGACGGUACCGUAAGAGAAAGCCACGGCUAACUACGUG
rnacentral:rRNA from 1 species